GGGAAAGGAGAAGCCUGGUGGGACAGCAGCUUUCUCCCCUGUCCAGCUCCCACCCUCAGCUGCAACAGGGGCAGUUCUUCCAGCCUCAGGCAGGAGGGAGUCCCUCCUCCCAGCCCAGGCUAACCAGUCCCCCGCCUUGAGCUUUGACCCCCAACCCCUCCUGGUCUCCACAGAGCUUCAUUCCAUUACCAGCACCCACACCUGACACCCCCUCCUGCAUCCCGGCUCCCGCCCUUCAUCUUGGAAACGGCUCAGUUCUUUCUCACAUGAAAACUUUCUCCUAGACACUUGGGGACUUCGGUCAAGAUUUGCUUGAGAAAGAUUCAGCAAAUGUUCAGUCACUGCUUUCAACUGCUACCUGGCAAAAUUUUUCCUGGUCAUUUUCUCCAAGCAAGAAGACUCAUGGUUAAUGUUGCCAGCAUUUCACUAAAAAUUAAUUCAAAAAAAGACCCACACUAAAUGGAAGAUAAGAGAUAACCACUGACCAGAAUACUAUUUGUGGUUCUGUGGUGGUUCUGAGUUUAAUACAAAGACAUGUCAUUCCUGAGUCCUGUUGCUUUCUAAAGACAUUGCCAAUACACUAAAUCAGAGCCAGUCAGAUCAAAUAAUUAUGAACAAAAUAUCACUGGGAGAUUAUCAAUUUUUAAAAAAAUAUUAA